rnacentral:lncRNA from 1 species
AGCAUGGUAGAAGGAAAUGUCUAGAGAGGAUCUGCAACAAAAAUAGAAGACUAGUUGGUCAGAGCUAACAAUCAGUGAGUAAAUAAAUCUUUCCCCCAUCUUUCUCAUCACAUUAUUUUAUGUGCUAUUUACUCAUUAUUUAGGUGCAAUUUUUAUAUCUGAUAUUCAGAACUUGAUCAGGUCACAGGAGAUCAUAAUUACAGGACACAGGAGUUUGUACUCGGGGACAACAUCUUCUGCUUGAUUCAGUAAGAAACUCGCAACUCAUGAGACAUAUCCAGCUCUCAGUUUCGGUGUUUUCUGUUUAACGAAGAAAACUGAUAGCAUGCUUUUGCUGCGAGCAGGAGCACGUAGAGUCUCAUGUCUUGGAUUGUCAAAGGAUCCGAAUGCUGUCAAAGGUUUGGAACCCUCCAAAUCCUGCAAAAGGCAGGCAUCAUGUUAGAAUUCAGUUCUCUAAUCUAACGGGAUGGGAGUCUGAGGACAAGCAUAUUAUAUGCAUUAAGCAUUAAACAUCCGCAUCAAUUGAGAAUUUGUACAAUAAAGACCAUAUUAUGCAAUAUUUGAGUCAUUCGUCAUAUUACAUGCAUGUUUGACAUACUUUAGGUGUGAAUGGAUGAACCAACCUGGUGAUUGUGCUUCUACUCCAAGAAAGCUCACAGAAAAAAGCAAAGCUCGAUAUAUAUAUGAAAUUAUUCUCAUUGCAGUUUCACUUUUUUUUCCUUUUUGCUAACUGAAUUUCACUAUAUUAUUAAACAGAAGAAUUACAGGUAAGACAUCUUCUACAUCUACAAAAUAGCAUAAACCAACAUAAGUAUUCAACAUCAUGAAGACUCGUCAGAGCUGUUUCAUGCCUAUGAUGUAAUCCAGUGAAUACACGGAAUCCCUGAGUUCACAAACAUCAUCCACCACAUUGUUCUCGUCAGAAAUGGUGUGUAGCACCUUCUCUGUCCAACUCAUGAAGUAGAAGGUUAUUCAUAUGGAUGAAAAUUCAAGGGCCUAGGACAUGGAUGUCAAUAUGAGUUUCCCACCAAAACAACAGAAUUCAAGGGCCUAGCACGCAUUUUUGACUAGGGCCAUUGGCAUGGCAACUCCCCCAAUUAUGAAGUAAUAGUCUGCCAGAUGAUCAAGAGAAGAAGAAACCUCAACCUCAAAACCCCAAACUCUUCUAGAAAACUAUUGAAAAAUGGCAGCAGCUUGCCAUCACCAACUGAAUGAAGUGGUAGAAACCUCUAGGAAAACAAGGCUGCUCAAAAACUUCACUUGCUAUCUGGUCAUGAAUACUUAUUCCAAUUAUGCAUGCCUGUAUUGAACACAGACUAUCCAAAUCUGAAAGCAAUUACCCACUUGGUAACACUGUAAUUAGCCCGAGCAAAAGAAACAUUUUCCUGGAUUUAUCUAUUUUAGCCAAAAGGAGACAGAAGAUAAAGGAGCAACAUAAGUUCACGUACCACAGAAGCUAAUGCAAAUAGAUGUUCUAGAUGUCUUGGAAAAGGUAUCAUUUAAGAUAGAAGCAAGAAACAUGAUCCAAAAAUGCUUCCAUUGCCCAGGGGAUAAAGCAAGAUUGAUAAAAGGAAGUCAAGACUCAAAACAGAUUCAAAGAGUAUAACAACAAUAUAUCUGCUGCAAUUUUUUAUUAUCAAGCUUGUACACAUGAAAGAAUUGAUGGGUACAUCCAUGUUAAUGUUAAUCUCCUAAUUACCUUG